rnacentral:tRNA from 1 species
GUCUAGAUAGUUUAUUUAGAAUAAUAAUUUGUGGUAUUAUUGGUGUAUUUUAAUACUCUAGAUC